rnacentral:misc_RNA from 1 species
UCCAUUAAUGUAGAGAACAAGUGGUGUUUCAGGGCAUAUAUGGAUUAUUUCUUCAAUGUAAGGCCUUUACCAACAGUCCCAAAUGCAAGGUGGUAGCUGGUCCACCCCAGGAAUCAAAUAUUGUAUGCAAUGUGCCCCGGACUCCAUAUUGCCUCUUCCACUAUAGAUGUAGCUAUUGUCCAAGGUUCUCCAACAAAACCCAAAACUGAUAUAGCCCGUCCAAAAACCAAGUCAACGAGCCAGUAUUCAGUCACAGAGCCAACAUGCCGGUCAAAAAGUCAAGCAUUCAGUCAAGAGGUCAACAACAGAGAAGAAGUCAUGACAAGUGACCACUCCAAGCAUCAAAUGGCUCAGGCUAACCAGUCCAAGCAUCUUCAGACUCGCAUAGAAAAGACCGAGUGUCAUAGGCUCGGCCAGGUCCAGAACAAGCACUAACAUGAGCGAACACAUUCGACCAAUAGCCGGACCGAAUGCUCGCCCAACAUGCCCAGCUACACUUAGCCGAGCAUUGGAAGAACAAGUCAAUAAUGGAUGCAGCCGCCGAGCAUAUCAAGAUCCUCGGAAUCAACUACAAUAAAUCAGGUAAGCUGACAAUUGAAUCAUCUCUUUCAUUCAAAAGGCAAUCUUUCAACCAAACUUUAAACUCCAACUUAAGGAUCGGAGUGGUUGAUCAAUAAGUCACCGACCUCACUUUCUCUCCUUGUGGCAUAGGUCGACAAGGUAUAAAGAUUGAUCAAAGGAGAGCAGCAUCAGUACCCGUAAGUAGCUUAAGGCAAUACUAGAAUGUAAUCAAAACUGUAAUAUUACUGUGGAAACAUUACAUGACUCGCUACUUUGCUUGGUUGCACAAAGAAAAUCUAUUGCAUGUAACGUCUACUACACAAUGUAAAAACUAUUACUUAGUGAAAUUUCCAUUACAUACAAAAAUUUAUGUAAUCAUUAUUACUUUAUUUACUGUUAUUUAUUUCUUUUACUUCCUCCACCAUCUAUGUUGUCACUGCUGCUGCCGCCAACAACAAUACCAAUCUCAGCUGCUGCUGUUGAAAUGCUGAGAAAUACUCAAUCACAUUGUUUCUAGAAACUCCAAACCAGGCAGAGGCCCUUGAUGGAAAAUUCGAUAAAUUUUGACAACUAUACAUGAACUUAUUUA